rnacentral:pre_miRNA from 1 species
GUUCUCACCGAAUAUUGACGGCUCUGUCUUGGAUGGUCAUUCUGUUGAGAGUGAUAACCAGAGGAGCUCAACUUCAUUGGUGGGGGUUGA